rnacentral:rRNA from 1 species
CUACGGGGGGCAGCAGUGGGGAAUAUUGGACAAUGGGCGAAAGCCUGAUCCAGCCAUGCCGCGUGUGUGAAGAAGGCCUUCGGGUUGUAAAGCACUUUCAGUGGGGAAGAAAGCCUUGGGGCUAAUACCCUCGAGGAAGGACAUCACCCACAGAAGAAGCACCGGCUAACUCCGUGCCAGCAGCCGCGGUAAUACGGAGGGUGCGAGCGUUAAUCGGAAUUACUGGGCGUAAAGCGCGCGUAGGCGGUCUGAUAAGCCGGUUGUGAAAGCCCCGGGCUCAACCUGGGAACGGCAUCCGGAACUGUCAGGCUAGAGUGCAGGAGAGGAAGGUAGAAUUCCCGGUGUAGCGGUGAAAUGCGUAGAGAUCGGGAGGAAUACCAGUGGCGAAGGCGGCCUUCUGGACUGACACUGACGCUGAGGUGCGAAAGCGUGGGUAGCAAACAGGAUUAGAUACCCUGGUAGUC